rnacentral:misc_RNA from 1 species
CAUAUUGGCGACCACGACCCCGCAAGUUAACGCUAAUAAAAACGUCACUUGAUUUGUUAAACCCGAUUGUUGUUUCUUCAUCUAACCACCUACAUUUCUAUGUAAUUCAUUUUGUAAUACAACAACUACUCGGCAAUAGUUGUUUUGAUUACAAAAACAGACUUCUCUUAUAAAGUUUGUUCAAAAAGUGACAAGUCCAUUAAAAAUUUUAUCACAAUAAAUAAAGAAAAGUAAGAGGAUAAAUAACAAAAAUCUCAUCAAAUUGAAAAGAAGAAGUGGUUGUUUUCACAAGUGUGAAGAGGGUUAAUUAAAUACAAACAAGAUUUCAAUUACAUUACAGAAAUUUUAAAACUCAAAAUUUAAUACGUUUAUUUCUUGUUUCAAUAGGAAAUUAACGGU